AUUGCACGCUGGCGGCAGGCCUAACACAUGCAAGUCGAACGAGUGGCGGACGGGUGAGUAAUGUCUGGGAAACUGCCUGAUGGAGGGGGAUAACUACUGGAAACGGUAGCUAAUACCGCAUACCAUCAGAUGUGCCCAGCUGGGCUUAGCUUGUUGGUGGGGUAACGGCUCACCAAGGCGACGAUCCCUAGCUGGUCUGAGAGGAUGACCAGCCAAACUGGAACGGAGACACGGUCCAGAUGCCUGCGGGAGUCAGCAGUGGGGAAUAUUGCACAAUGGGCGCAAGCCUGAUGCAGCCGUGCCGCGUGUAUGAAGAAGGCCUUCGGGUUGUAAAGUACUUUCAGCGGUGAGGAGUUACCCGCAGAAGAAGCACCGGCUAACUCCGUGCCAGCAGCCGCGGUAAUAC
rnacentral:rRNA from 1 species